rnacentral:rRNA from 1 species
AAUAGAUACCCAGGUAGUCCAUGCCGUAAACGUUGGGCGCUAGAUGUGGGGACCAUUCCACGGUUUCCGUGUCGCAGCUAACGCAUUAAGCGCCCCGCCUGGGGAGUACGGCCGCAAGGCUAAAACUCAAAGGAAUUGACGGGGGCCCGCACAAGCGGCGGAGCAUGCGGAUUAAUUCGAUGCAACGCGAAGAACCUUACCAAGGCUUGACAUAUACGAGAACGCUCUAGAAAUAGAGAACUCUUUGGACACUCGUAUACAGGUGGUGCAUGGUUGUCGUCAGCUCGUGUCGUGAGAUGUUGGGUUAAGUCCCGCAACGAGCGCAACCCUCGUUCUAUGUUGCCAGCGGUUCGGCCGGGAACUCAUAGGAGACUGCCGGGGUCAACUCGGAGGAAGGUGGGGAUGACGUCAAAUCAUCAUGCCCCUUAUGUCUUGGGCUUCACGCAUGCUACAAUGGCCGGUACAAAGGGCUGCAAUACCGUAAGUGGAGCGAAUCCCAAAAGCCGGUCUCAGUUCGGAUUGAGGUCUGC